UUGUUAAUUGCUGGCCUGUAUGAAUGGCUAAACGAGGGCUCCACUGUCUCAAUAAUAAACCUAGUGAAAUUGAAACGGUGGCGAAGCUGCCACCUAUGAAUUCUAAGACGAGAAGACCCCAUUGAGCUUUACUAUUAACUUGUAUUGCCAGAGCGCGAGCAAAUAAGCAAAAAGAUUAGAAGGGGAUCCGAAGGAUCCCCUUGCUUCAUAAUAAAAUUGUGUAGACUAAGUGGGAAAAAGAUAAAACAAGGGAUUUAAAAGAAUCCCGGGGCGCGGGAAGGGGGUGCCAAUGGCGUGGUUUUCCCCCCCCGCCCCGGGUCCCGAUUUAUAUGAAAAACCACUCUUUUUAUUAAGAUUACUGUCUACAACCGUACAAGUAAGAUAGUUUGGUUGGGGCGACCGCCUUCGAAAAAGUAUCGAAGGCGCACAUAAGAUUAGUCCGGAGGGGGGUCCGAAGGCCCUCCCGGGGGUAAUGCCCCAAAGAAAAGAUUAGUUUGACUGAGAGGGCUACAACCCGAACAGGCGCUAUUAAAAAGGGAUAAAAAGUCUUUUUGCGGGUCAUAGUGAUCCGUUGUUAUAUUGUGGGAUUGACAACGAUCAACGAAGAAAAGUUACCAUGGGG
rnacentral:rRNA from 1 species